rnacentral:rRNA from 1 species
GCCCAGCCGUAAACUUUUACUUACACCUAAAUCGCCAGGGAACUACGAGCUAAGCUUAAAACCCAAAGGACUUGACGGUACCCCAUAUCCCCCUAGAGGAGCCUGUCCUAUAAUCGAUAAUCCACGUUUAACCUCACCACUUCUAGUUAAUCAGCCUGUAUACCUCCGUCGUCAGCUUACCACGUGAGCGCCAAUUAGUGAGCCCAAUGUUAUUUCACCAACACGUCAGGUCAAGGUGCAGCAAAUGAAGUGGGAAGAGAUGGGCUACACUUUCUAUAAUAGAAAAAACGAAAAACUACUUAUGAAACCUAGUUAGAAGGCGGAUUUAGAAGUAAAGUGGAAUCAGCACAUCCACUUAAACUCGGCACUGGGGUGUGU